ACCCUGGUUCAGUGUGAAAAAAAUCAAGAAGAGGACAAUCAAAUAAAAUAUCUAUGGCCUUAUCAAGUAGAUGCUCAAACGCAGCCAUACACCACCUGACUGUGAUCCUAUGUGGGGACUACUGGGUUAGAGCAGCAUUCGUGCACACCAAUUUCAUGCUGCCAGAGAUACAGGCCUCAGUCAAGAGAUGCUGAGAGCCUGGCUCACGUUCUUACUGCAGGCAUUCCUGUAACCCUAAAAUUUCAGGGCACGACAUGAUUGUAGCACUGAAAAGUGGCGAGGUGGGGGGUACCCAGGAUGAACUCAAUGGGAACCGGAAGCAUCUGUUCACUUGCUCUGAUGUACAAAGGGCACUACAAGGUGUCCUGGCCUUAGUGCUUCAGUCCCUUCACCCGCCUACUUUCCUCCUUGGCCCCUGUCCUCAUUUCACAAAGCCAGGGACUCCUUCCAACCUGCUGGAGCCUGAGGACGGUUUCAAAGUUCUCCUUGUCUUUACCUCCUGGGGCCUCUCAACACUUUCACAGCCUAGUCAGCCUCUCCGCUCUCCUUGGCUCUGUCCCAAAGCUGUCUGUCCUUGAGUCCCCCAGCGUUCUGCCUAGACUGCAUUCUCUCCUAACUUCAUCGCUCCUGCUCUGAGUCCCUCCCUCUGAACUUACCGCCUCCAGCUCAGCUCAUCCCUAUACCACAGAUACCUGGUUUCUUCAGCCAGCUCCUCUGAGUCAUGCACAAAUCCACCGUCAAUCCCCAGUCUCUGCAUCUGGACGCUGCAUGGACCAUGAACCACGUUUCUAAAACCACACUCCCCGAUCUAUUUAAUGCCAACCCCCUCUCCUUUGUCCUGAUUCUCAUCCCCAGACUCCCCACCUUCCCUAUCCAACUUCUCAGACCCCUUCCCUGACUCCUGUCCACCUAAAACCUAACCUCCUCCUUAUCUCUGCUGCAGGCUAGGCUCUCACCUCUCACCUGCACUGCCUUCUCCCUGAAGUCCCACGGGGGCUCUCUGGUGCUUUCCCAACACCACAGGCAGGGACUCUUUCCCCGGGGCUGACACCCAGAACUCAGAUCAGAUCAAGCCAGGAUUCAGAAUCUCCCAGGGACCUCAUGCCCUUCAAACAAAUGCUGCAGUCUUCCUGUGCCCUCAGCCCUGCAGGCUCGGGUCAGCUGCUCGUCUCUGACCUCCUCACCUGCUCUCCUCUUUCCCCAGCAUUCCAGCUGCACUGGCAGCCCACCCCUCCUUCUAGAAGUCUCUCGCUCUGCUCUGUAGCCUCCCUGCUCCCUCUGCUUCAGUGCAAUCCUUACAGCUGACCACCUGACCUCCAGCCAUUACUCCACGUCACCUUCUCAGGGGUCAGUAAGCACACACACCACUUUCCAUCCAGGUCUCAGCCUUGAUUUAUUUAUUUUUUUUCUCAUUUUACAUUUACUUCUUUUUUUUUUUGUUUGUUUUUGUGUUUUUGAGACAAGGUCUCUCUACACAGCCCUGGUCAUCCUGGUAUGCACUGUGUAAAGCAGACUGGCCUCAGACUCACAGAGAUUUGCCUGCAUUUCUAAAGGUGUGUGCCACCACACCUAGCUUAGCAUUUACUUUGUUAUUAAAUACCCAUAUAUGAGUGCUUACAACGCUCAGGCCGUGCUCCAGAUGUUUGUGGUUACUCUGUUCUCCCAAUGUCCUUGUGGUAGGGACUUGCUACUGUGAUGUUUGGCCAUGGGGCAGAGAUUGGGGCUGGGAUUCAAGUGAGUCACUCACGCGGUAAUCCCUGUCCUCUAACAUACUGCGCAUGUGCUGUCAUCAUUUCUCUUGCCCCAUGAGUCCUUCUCUAAAAUGCAAGGAACACGGGACCCAUAGCUGACUGUUGCAUUAAACCACCGAACUCUGGGAAAGGUUCUGACAAGGGUCAGAGUUCUGGGAAGGUAAAGGCUAAGAAACUCCACAUUAGACAAGUCUUUUCAAACCAAAGAGAGACCUCUGUCCCUUUUCUCUCUCAGUGAGAAGAAGGCCCCUGAGCCCUGGUGUGGCUCAUAAAGCAGCUAGCUGGCUGCUAUGUGUGGCUACUUAAAGCAGCUAAAAUGAAACCCUGUAGCCAGACAUGGUGGUACAGGCUUGUCAUUCUAGCUAUCCGGGGGGAUGAGACACGAGGACUCAAGAGCAGUGUCCCGGGGAGCGACAGACCAAGCUCUAGAGUAGCCUGGGGAAGUUAGACUGGUUUCAUAUAAAAGUAAAACGUAGGCUGAGGACGUGGCACAGUUGUAGUGCUUGCCUAGCGUGAGUGAGGCCCUGGGCUUAUGCCCACUAGAACAAAUAACAAUGGCAAUGACAUUAAAUACAAAACUGUGACUAUGAAAUGUUGUUAGAACUCUUCAGCACAUUGGCCUCAUGCAAGUGCUCUCCACGGGGUCUGCAUGGUCUGUGAGGGGCAUGGACAGCAAAGCAAAAGCUCUUCAGACAGCGUCAUGGAUCCCAGGAGGUCUCCACACCAAAUGCAAGAGCUCUUCCUGCCUCUAGCCAAGGACAUACAGGAGCCUUAUAUAACUGUCCUCUGAGAGGCUCUACCCAGCAGCUGACUGAAACAGAUGCAGAGGCCCACAGACAAACACUGGAUGGAGGUUGGAGACUCUUAUGUAGGAGAUUCUUAUGUAUGAGAAGGAUUGAAGGCCUGGAAGGGGAACUCUAUAAGAAGACUAACAGAGUCAACUAACCUGGAUGCCUGGAGUUCUCAGAGAUUGAGCCACCUACCAAAGAGCAUACACGGGCUGGACUGAGGACCCUACACAUAUGUGUAGCAGACUUGCAGCUCAAUCUCCUCGUGGGUCCCCAACAGCUGGAGUGGGGGCUGUCCCUAAGGCUGUAGCCUGACUGUAGUAUCAGUUCCCCAACAGGGUCACCCUGUCUGGCCUCAGUGGGAGAGGAUGGCCUAAUCCUGCAGAGACUUGACGUGUCAGGGGGCCCCACCCUCUCAGAGGAGAAGGGGAGAGGGAUGGGGAGGGACUCUGAGGUAGGAACCAGAGUGGGCACUGAUUGGGAUGGAAAGAAACAAAGAUAAGAAGAGAAAAGGAAAGAAAAAAAGAAUUUAUAACCAGUAGAGAGGAACAUACAAUUCUCUCCCCUUCCUCCCCACUGUACAAAUAAAUAAAUAUAAUUAAAAACAUUUUAAAAAUUCAUAGCCAGUUGUUGUUGGUGCACAUCUUUAAACCCAGCACUUGAGAGGCAGAGGCAGGCAGAUCUCUGAGUUAGAGGCCAGCAAAUUCCAGACAUGCCAAGGAUACAGAGAGAAGCCCCGUCUUGAACAAACAAACAAACAAACAAACAAACAACAAUAACCACCUAACCAACCAAACAAAAAAAACAUAUAAAAUGUAAAAAGCAUAUUUUAAUAUAAUAGAUGCUUAAUAAUAAAUUUUAACAUACUUUUAUAAAAUAACUCUUUUUAAAGUAUUUUAAUAUAGUGAGAAAUUCAAUGCCGCAGAGAUUUAAAAAUUUAAAAUAUCCAUGAAAAGGAAAGGAGAUAAUAUAAGCAAAUAUUGACAUAACCUUAGAAUAAUUAAGAUCUGUCUCUAACUCUUUUUUUUUCUUUCUUUUUUUUUUUUUUUUCUAGACAGGGUUUCUCUGUAUAGCCUUGGCUGUCCUGGAACUCACUUACUCACUUUGUAGACCAGGCUGGCCUCGAACUCAGAAAUCCGCCUGCCUCUGCCUCCCGAGUGCUGGCAUUAAAGGUAUGUGACUUUACCACCUAAGAUCUGUCUCUAAAUGAUAUCAAUGUCUCAAACC